rnacentral:rRNA from 1 species
AAUCAACGCUGGCGGCGUGCCUAACACAUGCAAGUCGAACGCGAAAGGGGCUUCGGCCCUGAGUAGAGUGGCAAACGGGUGAGUAACACGUGGGUGACCUGCCUCAGAGUGGGGGAUAACGUCCCGAAAGGGACGCUAAUACCGCAUAACAUCCUGCCUUUGGAAAGGCGGAGAUCAAAGCCGGGGAUCGCAAGACCUGGCGCUUGGAGAGGGGCCCGCGUCUGAUUAGCAGUUGGUAGGGUAAUGGCCUACCAAGGCGACGAUCUGUAACCGGCCUGAGAGGGCGGUCGGUCACACUGACACUGACAUACGGGUCAGACUCCUACGGGAGGCAGCAGUCGGGAAUUUUGGGCAAUGGGCGAAAGCCUGACCCAGCAACGCCGCGUGAAGGAUGAAAUCCCUCGGGAUGUAAACUUCGCAAGAAUGGGAAGAAUAAGUGUGGGCUAAUACCCUCAUGAUGACGGUACCAUUUGUAAGCUCCGGCUAACUUCGUGCCAGCCGCCGCGGUAA